rnacentral:rRNA from 1 species
CACGUAGGGUGCGAGCGUUGUCCGGAAUUAUUGGGCGUAAAGAGCUCGUAGGCGGUUCCGUAAGUCAGGUGUGAAAAAUCUGGGCUCAACCCAGUGGAGCACCUGAUACUGCGGUGACUCGAGUCCGGUAGGGGAGUGUGGAAUUCCUGGUGUAGCGGUGAAAUUCGUAGAUAUUGGGAAGAACACCGAUGGCGAAGGCAGCCAUCUGGACCGACACUGACGCUGAGGCGCGAAAGCGUGGGGAGCAAACAGG